GCCUUAACCCGACCACGGGCUAACGCCCGUGCCGGUCCCAAGUCCGGACAAACUGGGGAGGGUUCA
rnacentral:ribozyme from 2 species